rnacentral:misc_RNA from 1 species
GGUCAGUGUACAUAUAUAUCAACACAUGAUCUUGUAUUUAUAUCUGAACAAGUGGCCAGAGGAAUGUACCAUUUAACUAGAAAAGGACAAGUACAUAAAGACCUGGCAUGUAGGAAUAUAUAUAUUCAUGAGAAUCUACAUGUAAAGAUUGGUGACAGGGGACUAAGUUGGGAUUUUUAUCCAGAAGAUUAUAAUACAAUAGAAGAGAGAGGAGGAGGGGGAGAUGAGACCAUUGCUUAUCCUGUCAAGUGGAUGGCAGCUGAAGUUUUGUCUGACAAAAGAUACUCUUCAUCUUCUGAUGUGGUUUAGUUUAAUGGGUUGGUGUUGGGCCCUCACUCCUAGUGAUAGACCAAGAUUUAGUCAUUUAACUGUACGACUUAAAGAAUUUUAUGAUCAACUGGGAUCAUUUAUAUAAUAAUAAUAAU